rnacentral:rRNA from 1 species
AUUAAUUUGAGAGUUUGAUCCUGGCUCAGGACGAACGCUGGCGGCGUGCCUAAUACAUGCAAGUCGAACGAACUCUGGUAUUGAUUGGUGCUUGCAUCAUGAUUUACAUUUGA